rnacentral:miRNA from 1 species
CUUGUUAAAAUGCAGAGACUGGGCCCACCAGGGACCUGCCCGAUCUGAACCUCGGGGGCUGGAGCCCAGGGAUCUGCAUUUUGGUC